rnacentral:sRNA from 1 species
AUGGCUGUCGUCAGCUCGUGUCGUGAGAUGUUGGGUUAAGUCCCGCAACGAGCGCAACCCUUGUCCUUAGUUGCCAGCAUUUAGUUGGGCACUCUAAGGAGACCGCCGGUGACAAACCGGAGGAAGGUGGGGAUGACGUCAAGUCAUCAUGGCCUUUAUGGCCAGGGCUACACACGUGCUACAAUGGUAGAAACAGAGGGAAGCCAACGCGCGAGCGGGAGCCAAUCCCAGAAAAUCUAUCUUAGUCCGGAUUGGAGUCUGCAACUCGACUCCAUGAAGUCGGAAUCGCUAGUAAUCGCAGAUCAGCAUUGCUGCGGUGAAUACGUUCCCGGGUCUUGUACACACCGCCCGUCACACCAUGGAAGUUUACUGCACCAGAAGCAGGUAGCCUGACCGCAAGGGGGGCGCCUACCACGGUGUGGUCAAUGACUGGGGUGAAGUCGUAACAAGGUAGCCGUACGGGAACGUGCGGCUGGAUCACCUCCUUUCAAGAGAACCGCACCAUUGUUCGAAGGCGCGAGUUCCCAGCACAAAUUAUCUGCCUGACACACACGGGGCGGCGGCCCAUCGGCGCGAUGACUAAACAGGUGCCAGUAGCAAUGCUGGCGCAGUAGGGCUGCGGAAGUUUGGGUCUGUAGCUCAGUUAGUUAGAGCGCACCCCUGAUAAGGGUGAGGUCGGGGGUGCAACUCCUCCCAGACCCACCAGUUCAUCGGGGAGGGGCCAUAGCUCAGCUGGGAGAGCGCCUGGUUUGCAACCAGGAGGUCGCCGGUUCGAUCCCGGCUGGCUCCACCAGCUCUUGUUACCUGCCCCGUAAAGCAGCGACGCGUGAUGACGCGAGCUCAUGCGGACCAACAUCAAACGGUUCCAACAUGUGCUGGCGUGAUCGCGCGAAUUCCGUGUGGUCUGAAGGUGAUGCCUAGCGCAUCACUUGCUCUUUAACAAUCUGGAAAGUUUUUGUUUUGACGCUAAGUUUUCAAGCGAAAGUGAUUUGAUUUGAUGAUUUGUUUCUUUGACUCAAGCUUGAGAAUGUCGCGUUCGCAAUGUGAAUCAGCUAGCAAUGUAACACCCAAACUUCUUGGGGUUAUAUGGUCAAGUGAAUAAGCGCACAUGGUGGAUGCCUUGGCGGUAGAAGGCGAUGAAGGACGUGGUAGCCUGCGAUAAGUGUCGGCGAGCUGGCAAACAAGCUUUGACCCGGCAAUUUCCGAAUGGGGAAACCCGG